rnacentral:rRNA from 1 species
CAGUGGGGAAUAUUGCACAAUGGGCGCAAGCCUGAUGCAGCCAUGCCGCGUGUGUGAAGAAGGCCUUAGGGUUGUAAAGCACUUUCAGCGAGGAGGAAGGCAUCNNANUUAAUACGUGUGGUGAUUGACGUUACUCGCAGAAGAAGCACCGGCUAACUCCGUGCCAGCAGCCGCGGUAAUACGGAGGGUGCAAGCGUUAAUCGGAAUUACUGGGCGUAAAGCGCACGCAGGCGGUUUGUUAAGUCAGAUGUGAAAUCCCCGAGCUUAACUUGGGAACUGCAUUUGAAACUGGCAGGCUAGAGUCUUGUAGAGGGGGGUAGAAUUCCAGGUGUAGCGGUGAAAUGCGUAGAGAUCUGGAGGAAUACCGGUGGCGAAGGCGGCCCCC